UUUCAUCUUGUUUGAAUGGAAUAAGUUGUGUAUAACAAGGCUUUAAACAGGAGGUAAAGAAAAGAACAUAAGUCAUUGUUUUUCAAAGAUGACUUUCAGAUCUUCUUCCAGUGCUUUUUUUAUUCUGAUGUGAUGAAUCCAAGGUUUUAUUUCCGCCAGUUUCACCACAGUGGGGGUGGUGAGGAAUAUGUCCCAAGGUCCAGCCCACUUUCCUCCUAGUUGGGUUUUUGGAGAUGCUGUCAUCCAAAUCUUGAGUAGCAUUUUGUCUGCAGGCUCAAAGGAAUGCAACAAACCUGUGGGAGAGAAGUCUCUAAUACAGGCAAGGUCAUUCAUCACAGCUAAGGUCUGAUUUAAAUGUUGUAAAUAUUUCUUUACCUUUAGUUUUCUAUCUAUACACAUAUCCCUCACCCCAACUGUGACCUGAAAUGGCUACCUGUACACAAGUUUAUAGGGACUCAACGGAAUCCCACUUCAAGGAGCCAGCCUUAUCCUGAGCAGGGCAAUAGGUAAAGCUUGAUCCCGAUGAAGAUGAGCUUCUUGACACACUUUGGCUAUAUUUUUCUUCAAGGUGUGGUUCAUUUUCUCUACUUUCCCAGAAGCCUGAGGUCUCCAUACCAUGUGGAGUCUCCACUGAAUUCCUAAAAUUUACUAACCUCCUGUAUAAUUUCUGAAACAAAGGCAGGUCCAUUAACAAUCUGGAUGCUGCCAGGGAGGCCAACGUGAGGGAUUACUUCCUUCAGUAAAGCUUUCACUACUUCUUAUGAGUUCUUUUCUG